UACGUAGGGUGCAAGCGUUGUCCGGAAUUAUUGGGCGUAAAGAGCUCGUAGGCGGUCUGUCGCGUCUGCUGUGAAAAUCCAGGGCUCAACCCUGGACCUGCAGUGGGUACGGGCAGACUAGAGUGCGGUAGGGGAGACUGGAAUUCCUGGUGUAGCGGUGAAAUGCGCAGAUAUCAGGAGGAACACCAGUAGCGAAGGCGGCUCGCUGGGCCAUUCCUGACGCUGAGACGCGAAAGCUAGGGGAGCGAACAGG
rnacentral:rRNA from 1 species